UACGUAGGGUCCGAGCGUUGUCCGGAAUUACUGGGCGUAAAGAGCUCGUAGGUGGUUUGUCGCGUUGUUCGUGAAAACUCACAGCUCAACUGUGGGCGUGCGGGCGAUACGGGCAGACUAGAGUACUGCAGGGGAGACUGGAAUUCCUGGUGUAGCGGUGGAAUGCGCAGAUAUCAGGAGGAACACCGGUGGCGAAGGCGGGUCUCUGGGCAGUAACUGACGCUGAGGAGCGAAAAGCGUGGGAGCGAACGG
rnacentral:rRNA from 1 species